AAAUUUUUAAAGGGUCUGGAAGCACUGACAAAUAGUAGCAAUCUUCAGAACUGUGUACAUAUCACUUCAUGUUAUACUAUUAACUCCAAUUUAGAGAGAAUGAACUGCUACGAGAAUUCAUUAGAUUCUUGAAUAUAGUUUAUUCUAUCUUCUUCUUCUGUUGGUGUCAACACCGUCACGAAAAUGGACAUAUAUAUAUAGGAAUGAGUGUGUACUACUAAGUUACUAACAUCUCACUACUUCUUCUGGUCAGGUUAAAAGUGUCAUUCCAUUUA
rnacentral:misc_RNA from 1 species